CCUACGGGUGGCAGCAGUGAGGAAUAUUGGUCAAUGGUCGGGAGACUGAACCAGCCAAGCCGCGUGAGGGAUGAAGGUACAGAGUAUCGUAAACCUCUUUUGUCAGGGAACAAAGGCGGGGACGUGUCCCCGGAUGAGUGUACCUGAAGAAAAAGCAUCGGCUAACUCCGUGCCAGCAGCCGCGGUAAUACGUAGGGGGCAAGCGUUAUCCGGAUUUACUGGGUGUAAAGGGAGCGUAGACGGCAGCACAAGUCUGGAGUGAAAUGCCGGGGCUUAACCCCGGAACUGCUUUGGAAACUGCAUGGCUGGAGUACAGGAGGGGCAGGCGGAAUUCCUAGUGUAGCGGUGAAAUGCGUAGAUAUUAGGAGGAACACCGGUGGCGAAGGCGGCCUGCUGGACUGUGACUGACGUUGAGGCCCGAAGGCGUGGGGAGCAAACAGGAUUAGAUACCCGGGUAGUC
rnacentral:rRNA from 1 species